rnacentral:misc_RNA from 1 species
GUCUCCGUUGGUGAACCAGCGGAGGGAUCAUUACCGAGUUUACAACUCCCAAACCCCUGCGAACAUACCAUUUGUUGCCUCGGCGGUGCCUGCUUCGGCAGCCCGCCAGAGGACCCAAACCCUUGAUUUUAUACAGUAUCUUCUGAGUAAAUGAUUAAAUAAAUCAAAACUUUCAACAACGGAUCUCUUGGUUCUG